rnacentral:rRNA from 1 species
UACAGAGGCCCCGAGCAUUAUCCGGAAUCACUGGGCGUAAAGGGUGUGUAGGCGGUUAUGUUAGUCUUUUGUGAAAGAUCCCGGGCUUAACCCGGGAGACGCAGGGGGAAAACGGCAUAACUUAGAGGGUAUGAGAGGUAAAAGGGAACUCAUGGUGUAGGGGUGAAAAUCCGUCGAUAUCAUGGGGAACACCAAAUGCGAAGGCACUUUACUGGCAUAUUCCUGACGCUGAAACACGAAAGCGUGGGAAUCGAAUGGGG